AAAAACUCCGGUGGUAUGAGAUGGACCCGCGUCUGAUUAGCUGGUUGGCGGGGUAACGGCCCACCAAGGCGGCGAUCAGUAGCCGACCUGAGAGGGUGACCGGCCACAUUGGGACUGAGACACGGCCCAAACUCCUACGGGAGGCAGCAGUGGGGAAUAUUGCACAAUGGGGGAAACCCUGAUGCAGCAACGCCGCGUGAGUGAAGAAGUAUUUCGGUAUGUAAAGCUCUAUCAGCAGGGAAGAAAAUGACGGUACCUGAGUAAGAAGCCCCGGCUAACUACGUGCCAGCAGCCGCGGUAAUACGUAGGGGGCAAGCGUUAUCCGGAUUUACUGGGUGUAAAGGGAGCGUAGACGGCGAUGCAAGUCUGAAGUGAAAGCCCGGGGCUCAACCCCGGGACUGCUUUGGAAACUGUAUGGCUGGAGUGCUGGAGAGGCAAGCGGAAUUCCUAGUGUAGCGGUGAAAUGCGUAGAUAUUAGGAAGAACACCAGUGGCGAAGGCGGCUUGCUGGACAGUAACUGACGUUGAGGCUCGAAAGCGUGGGGAGCAAACAGGAUUAGAUACCCUGGUAGUCCACGCUGUAAACGAUGAAUGCUAGGUGUUGGGGAGCAAAGCUUCUCG
rnacentral:rRNA from 1 species